GCAGAUUUGAGUUUCCAGAUUGACUCGUGUUCCCCCGCCGGGCUGCACCCCGGGGGGUCUUUAGGAGGUCGAGUUUCUGCCUGAAGCCAAAACGUGUUUGACGACUCGAAACGUCACAUUGUUGUCGACCGAGUGACACUGAUUGAAGGUGAGGUGAGAAGUCACCUGACAGGUGUAGCCGGGAUCGAAUGCGUCAGGGAGGAGGAAACGGCGAGGAGGUGUCACUCUGCCUCUAUUUCCGCUUACCGAAGAAAAAAAAAAUCGCAAAGAUCCGCCCCGUUGUAAUCCCUUCAUCCCAACCUGGUCGCAUUGGGCCCCUGGGAGUCAAACGCAGAGCGGCCCGUUAAUGGGGGACCGGAGGAGUCAUGUUGAAAAGAAAAGUUAUUAGUAGUCUUGAUUGUUUGCUCUCAAUCUGAUAUAUUGAGCUCUAAAUGCAAUUCAUGUUUUCAAAUUCGUCAUUUCCUCACCAUUGAAUGACUUCCUUGCUCUCUAAAAACUGGAUUCUCCAAUUAGUCAUUCGUAUUCUACAUUUAAUAGUUAUUGCUUUUGGUUUAAACAUGGCAUGCUCUCAAAUGAGCACCUCAUGUUUGUAUCACUUUGUAAUCAUUACCCUCAAGAUCUAUUUACUUGUUUGUCUCAACAAUUGACGGACAUGUCCGGAAUAAAGUCGUUCAAUUGUU